AGUGACCAAACAUGUCAGGGUUGCUGAAAUUCAGUAACCCAAAGGUUAUCAAUGAAGUUUCAUUGUGGGAGAUUCAAAAACAUGAGUUAUAUAUAUCGUGAAUUAGAAAGUUUUGAAAUGGACAAGUUCAUGAUUUUGGGCUAAAUGUUCACAUUAGGUAUUGGAUUGGGCAAGAAAAUACCCUAUUGCAGAUAAAUGUUUAAUGGCCAUUCGGUUGGCCUAUUGGAGGAUAUCUAGGUUCCCAGGUGAGAAAUUUCUUCCCAAUGAAUUUCCCUGUAUAUUGAUGGAUAAUAGGCUUUAAGUUGAUGACAAAAAAAUUGUAUUGUGAUGCGAGGUUUUGUUUUCAUUUAGGGGCCUUAUUACUGUGGUGUUGGGGUUGAUAAGUCAUCCGACCGAGAUAUAUCCGAUCCUCACUUCAAGGCUUGCUUAUAUGCUGUGGUAUCAACAUUAAUGGCACCAAUGGAGUGAUGAUGCUGGGCCAAUGAGAACACCAAGUCGGACCAAGCAUGGGAAUUGAAGCAGGAGAUCAUCUAUGGUGUUAAAGAUACCUUCUUGAGAGAAUAACCGAGCAAGCUGGUGUUGUCCUCAUGUAAGAUCCAAAGCCAAUAGAGGGUGAUUGCAAUGGUGUAGGAUGCCAUACUAACUACAGGUUCACACCAUAGAAAUAACAUGGACUUGGUCAAGAAUUUUUGUUCAGUGAGGGACCUUUAAGAGUGUGUUCUUUGACUUUUCUGCAAUACAAAAAGCAUGAGAGAAGAGGGAGGCUUUGAAGUGAUAAAGAAGGCGAUUCGGAAUCUCUCACUUCACCAUGAGGAGCACAUUGGCGCUAUGGAGAAGGUUGACGGGAAAGC